GGUGAAUACGUUCCCGGGCCUUGUACACACCGCCCGUCACACCAUGGGAGUGGGCUGCACCAGAAGUAGAUAGCUUAACCUUCGGGAGGGCGUUUACCACGGUGUGGUUCAUGACUGGGGUGAAGUCGUAACAAGGUAGCCCUAGGGGAACCUGGGGCUGGAUCACCUCCUUACUGA
rnacentral:rRNA from 1 species